GGGAGCCUGAGAUCCUCCAGGGGUUCCUUGUGCCCUGACCAGCAGCUGUGCCCCAGGACACACAGGGCCCUGUGUGCUGCAGUUACUACCACUGACCUGGCUGAGACCCAGGCACUCCUGGGCUGUGGGGCUGGGGUCAACUGCUUCUCAGGGGACCCAGCCGCUCCCACACCCCUGGCUCUUGCUGAGCAAGCCGGACAGACUCUGCAGAUGGAGUUUCUACGGAAUAACCAGAGCACAGAGGUUCCCCGGUUGGACUCAGUGAAGCCCUCGGAAAAGCACUACUCCAUUACCCUGCCAACUGUGAGCCACAGUGGCUUCCUGUACAAAACUGCUUCUGCCGGCAAGCCUCUGCAGGACCGCCGUGCCCGGGAAG
rnacentral:lncRNA from 1 species